rnacentral:sRNA from 1 species
AGUUGCUAUUUUUUGGCAAGGAUCGGUCUAACGACGCUUACAUCCAAUGUAAGCAUCAUGUGU